UACGUAGGGGGCAAGCGUUGUCCGGAUUUAUUGGGCGUAAAGAGCGUGUAGGCGGCCGUACAGGUCAGCUGUGAAAACUCGAGGCUCAACCUCGAGACGUCGGUUGAAACCGUACGGCUAGAGUCCGGAAGAGGAGAGUGGAAUUCCCGGUGUAGCGGUGAAAUGCGCAGAUAUCGGGAAGAACACCCGUGGCGAAGGCGGCUCUCUGGGUCCCUACCGACGCUGGGGUGCGAAAGCAUGGGGAGCGAACAGG
rnacentral:rRNA from 1 species